rnacentral:rRNA from 1 species
CAGUAGCCACGGUAAUACGUAGGGUGCAAGCGUUAAUAGGAAUUACUGGGCGUAAAGCGUGCGCAGGCGGUUAUAUAAGACAGAUGUGAAAUCCCCGGGCUCAACCUGGGAACUGCAUUUGUGACUGUAUAGCUAGAGUACGGCAGAGGGGGAUGGAAUUCCGCGUGUAGCAGUGAAAUGCGUAGAUAUGCGGAGGAACACCGAUGGCGAAGGCAAUCCCCUGGGCCUGUACUGACGCUCAUGCACGAAAGCGUGGGGAGCAAACAGGAUUAGAUACCCGAGUAGUCCCUGUCUCUUAUAC